AAAAAAAAAAAGAAUAUUAUACAUUUGUAUUAUAGUUCCACUCCAAAUACGAUAGCUAAAAGACAAAUCAACCUUCUCUUUACAGAACACAGGCUCCAAACAUAAAUUUUUGUCUUAUAUGUUUUAGGUUUAUGUAUAUAUAAAACCAUUCACCAAAGACAUGCUUAAUUUUUGAGAUUAAGGUGUAAAUUAUGAUGCCUUAUUUUGGUCUAGAGUGUAUGUAAGGUUAGUAUGUUAAGCAUUGUUCAAAAAUACUAGUAAGUCAAAAUUAUACAGCAUUUUCACAAAGUUCAAUGCACAGAAAAAGCCUAUGAUUUUGGUUACUGAUCUAUCUUAACGCUACUUUCUUUUAAAACAGACAGUUAACAUAAUACCCAAGUUACAGUAACAUUAUGGGCUUCUCCUCCCAUUGGCAAUUAAAUGCUUUUCUUCUGAAAAGAUGAUAUGGACCAACAGGUCCAUAUCAAAAAAAGAAUCAGACUUGCCAGCAACGUUGGUAGACUCUUCCCAGCAUACAUCUGAGUGCUGAAGGAAGAAGAAAGUUUAAAUUGUUUAAAGGACUAUAAUUAUCACACAAAAUUUAUUAAGAAAAAAGAAUAAUGGAUCUAGUAUAACUAAUUCUGAGUAAACCAAAAUGAUAAGAACUAAUUAAACACUUCUUAAUCCCACAUUUUUGGCAGGUGUAAUUGAGCCAUGGUCCUAUUUGAUUUUGUUAUGAUUGCAUCCAAAUUUGCUUAAACUCAGAGUUAUGUUUAAUGGUAGGAUGUAAGAACUGAAUUUUGAAAAACUACUCACUGUCAAAAUCUCUCCUUCCUAUAGGAAAUUUAGCUGAGUUUUCUUCAUCCCCAGUUUCUCUCUUUUCUAGUGUUGAUUCGGUAUCCUGAACCCCAUUCUCAGCUGGAAAAGCUACAGAUCCUUCUAGUGCAAGAUAAGGUUUUAUAACCAGAUUCAGUGACAGACCAUGAUUUAAGAAAUUAUGUUUUUUCUUUGUUUUUUGUGACAGCAUAAUCCCAUUGUUCUACUACCCUAGCAGUUCCUCCCUAGACAAUGAGGCCAAUACCCCUUCCUCUACUUCAUAUAGGCUUUCUUUUUUUACUCUAUACUGUAAUCCUGAAUGCUUUCAUGCAUCUCAUGGCUUUCAUUAUCAUUUCUACUUUGAUAAGUCCCAAAAUGAUAUCUUCUGUUUAUAUUCAACUUUAGAAUGCCAGACCUGUCAUCUCUAGCUGCCUAUCUCAGAGGCACCUUAAAUUCAACCUGUUCAAAGAUCAUCUUGUGCCUUAACCCAGAUUCACUGCUUCUCCAAUGUUCCCUGUUCCAGUUUAUAGCAACACCAUCCUCAGUUUCUCAUUCCAAAAGCCCAGGAGUAAUGUGUAGGGACAGUGAGAGAGAAUCAUGCCAUUCAAAUAGAAGUUUUAUUCUCAGCAUCCAGCACAUCAAUUCACCAUAGUAGAAGCUCAGUGAGUAUCUGUCCAAUUAAUGAAUAAAUGUUGAGCACUGUAAGCUACGCUUAUGGAUACCAUAGUUUAGUAAGGAAGCAGAGAGUUGGCAAAAAUAAAUUUGAGAAGUAUGAUAAUGGAUACAUUAAAAAGUGCCUUGUUGUCCACUGGGAGGAAAGGUUUUAAUUUAAUCUGAGUUGAUAAAGAAGGCCUACAUAAGGAAGCUUUGUGAUUUCAGGCUGAGGAUAACAGUGAACAGGAGUUGGCUCUGUGAAGGACCUGAAAUGUGAGGAGGACAGACUGAGAGAAGAUCACCUGCAAACUCUCUGAAGCAGAUGGUGUAGUCUGUGUAGCACUAGAAUGCAGAUGUCCACUUCACAUGAUGGUGUGAGUUUGCACAGGGCCAUUUCCUUGGUGACCUGUGUGUCCUAAAUCCAAGGGGACUCUCCCAGAACAUUCUGUUGUGAUAAAGAUUCUUGGGAUUUUCUGAUUCCUGAGAUGGGAAGAACUUAGUUCAUGUAAUGGCAAGUUGGGGGCUCAGGAUAUGAUUCAAUUUUAAUAAAAACAAUAACAGCAAUAAAUAAAUGUGUCAAUAUUUGCUGUAAGUUUAUAGACUAAAAUUCUUAGUUUAUACAUAUGCAGCCACAAAUACACAUACACACAUGCACAGAGGCAGUUGUGAAAAAACACAUACAAAUAUACAGGAUUGGAUGAAUGCGAAAGGAAACUUACUUCUCUUUUUACUUUAUACACUUUUAAAUGUAUACAUUUCUCUGUUGUUUGAAAUUAUUGUGUGGCAUUCUUUUGGCAUUACUUAUGUAAUCAAAACUCUCAAAAGCUAAGUAAAAAUUAAGUAGAAAUACAUUUCAAAUUUAGCCAGUAGCUUGUCUAGUAUGUCUGACUUAAGUUGACUUUAUGGUAUGAAAAAUGUGCCUUUUUUUAGCUGAGAAAUCAUCACACUUAGGUAUACCUUGGAGAAAGGUAAUAUGGGACAAUAGCACUCGGCAAAUUUAUGAUGAGCUAUUGUUUGUAUAAUUUUUAAUCACUCAUAUUUAAGACUUGAUUUUCUAUGCUGAUACUAACAUGGGAUUUCUCUGCUUCAAGCCAUCUAAAUUAGCUAUGCAAAGGGGUGAAAGUUCCCGGGAUUUGUUUGGCAACACGUUUCUGAAAGGCCGUUUGGUGCAGCUGCCUUCCAUUUGUUUCAUCAAGAGACUAAGCUAAACUAAAGUAGUUCUUCAUGAUGAACUGGCAGGAAAGUGCCAAGAUAGUUUUAUUGCUUAGCAACUUGGCAGGAGGAAAUGUUAAAAUAUUACAAUCUCUCGUAUCUAUGAACUGAGACAGGCUUUCAACUGAUGGCUCUCCAGCUCGAACGUGAUUAAGAUGCAGCCACAUGGCCCGGGCUUAUAUUUUGAGCUGAUAGGAGGAAGAUAGGGAAGUUGGAUACUUUUAAAUGUAUAAAUAGUAAUUUCUCAGAAAACAUUUGCUGAUCUGAGCCAAAUGCUAAUCUGAGGAAUUAAGCUGUCUCCGUUGUGAUGUUGAUAAGUACUGCAACCCCUAUUGAUCAAUGGGAUUUCCUUUGCAUUUCAGAAGGAAGGAUACGUCUAUUGAGAAAUUGCACGCCAAGUAAAAUCCUGAGAUAAACAACUUCAUACAAGAGAAACUGACAGUUUACCAUACAUUUUUGGAAUUUAAAGAGUUGUUGUGGUGUGCUUUCUUUUUGUGCAAAUUAUGGAAUAGAUGAAAGUGACAGAGUGAUGACACCACCUAAAUGGAAGCAUAAUGUAGAUGGUUAUUGCAGAUGCCUUACCACACAGCUCUGCCAGCGCACAUGCUUCCUGCAAACCUCCUGCAAUUUAAACCCUUGGGCUCCUUCAACUAAUGACGCUAAUUUGCCAAUGGAGCAAUGGCUUUCUUCGCUAAACACUCACCUACAAAGGAGUAUGUAUUAGCCGACAAUGUAUGUGCUCAGUAAAAACUGGCAAUAUAACAUGCACAUUUUAAAUAUAAAGACCACUUUCAUCACUACAUUAAAUCAUAGGGAUUGAUUUAAUAAAUCACAGUGUAAAUAACUCUCCAGAAUUAUUACUAUUAUUUUUAAUAAAGGUAAUAUUUGGGGGAAAAUUAUAUGGUACUAAAUUUUUCCAAAAAAUCAAAUUAUUGGGAGAAAAGUUAUAAGAGUACCUGGUUCCCUGUUUUGUCUUAAAGGAUUUCGGUUCAUAAUUGAAUUUAUAUUAAGCAUGAACAGCAGUUUGCAAUUGACAUUGUUUCAUUCAAAGCUAGUAUCUUCAUGUACAUUCAUGAGUCCAACAUAUAUAUAUAUAUCUACGUAUAUAUGUACACAUAUAUAUUCAAUUAUAUAUAUAAUUAUACAUAUAUAAUUGAAACUCAAUAAGAUAAAAUGUGUCAUGUCCAAAAUUAGAGGGAAAUUUGACAGCAAAACAAAAGAUUAACUAAAAUCUUUGUCUCUAUGAUGUUAAAAUUAAGAUCCUGCAGAUAUGACUCAAGACCUAUUUGAUCUUAUUUGUAUUCAAACAUGCAUCUGAUGUGUUAAAAUUAACAUAAUUUAAAAAAUGCUUCCAUCAAAUUCAAGAAGAAUUCAUUUAAAUAACCUUCUGAUAAAUAUAAAAGGAAGACAUUCAUUUUGUUUUUUUCCCCAACUUUAUAAAAUAUCAAUUAUUAUGGCCACUUUGGGAGCAAAUUUUAAGAAAGAAAAGCAACUAAAAAUGUCACCGACAUUGAAAAAGACAUUUAAGUGAUACCUACUUGUGUGUUCUGAAUUGGUUUUAAAUAUAGUUUUAAUCUUUCUAUAUUUUGUAUUAUAAAAUAAAUAUAAUUCUUUCAUAUUUCUAACACUUUCACAUUGCAAAUGAGGUACAUAGGCCACUUUAUUGAUGAACAACUUUCAGAACCUAAAUCUUUAAAAUUGCUGAGCCAAGCUGCAACACUAAAAUACAUUAUCUAAAUUGUGCAUGAAAACAAUAAAAGACCAUGAGUACUAUUUUUUAGUACUACAAGUCAGGGAAGAUUAACUUGAAUUUAAAUAACAAAUAAAAGUUACCACAAAGGGAGCAAGCUUUUAAACUGUGAAAUAGCUCUAGCUCUACAGUAGAAAUCUUAUGGUUUUCAUAUGAUAAUUUUUUUCAACAUAUCUUUUUCUAUUUUUUAAUUCAAAAUGUAAAAGUAAAUUAUACCUCCAAGACCAUGUUUUUCUCAUUCUUUGUUUCAACAAAUUGCUGAUAUCUUUCAAAACUGUCAUUUUCUGAAAUGAGCAGUAGUGUACACAGAGAAAUAAAAGAGGUUAUCCAGAGAAAUUGCAGGUGCUUCUCCAGCCUAACCUUAAUGACAGUUUAUUGCUGGUCCAUGGGGCCCAGUUUUGUUUAAGCAAUUAUCAGACUGCUUUAUUUAUGGCGCCCUUGUGCCUGUUUUUGGCAAUGGGGUCGCAAUAAAUUAUCAAAAUAACGUUAAUGUUACAAGAAUAGGCUACUUUAAAAAUAGGUGGCACCAAUUACAAUUGAAGGAGAAUAGUUAGAUGAAGAUUUAAAUUAUGCCAAUUGCUCCUGGGAAAUUGAUGGGAUGGAUCGAGAGGAUCUUCCCUGACUUCUAAUACAUGCAUGCGCAGGGUUAUUUCUCACAAUUAAAAUCAGAAAUGUUAAAGGGGAACUUACAAUGAAAGAGAAAGCCAAUUAAUCUAGUCAUCAUUAAUCACUGAGAAAGACACAGUAGUAUACUUAGUAAGUGUCCUAAAGCAGCAUCCAGAGAGAGGGAGAGAGACCAUCAAUCCCAAAAGACUCAAAAAAUCUUUAGGGAGAUGUAGAAUUAUGCCAAUAGUUUGCAUAUUAUAACGAUAAGACAAAGCUGGGAAGGCCUGUUCUGAUAUAACUUGCAUGCACAGUCACACACCUGGGACCACGUAGAAUUUACUACUAAAACGUGAAUGGCAAUUAAUGUACAAAAUAUGAAAAACAAAGUUCAAACAAUAUGUGUUUGCUGUCAAGAUUACUUCUAAGAAAAUUUGUAAGGCAAGUUUUGAGUUGUAAGAGGCUCUUAGAAAUAGAAACUGUGCUUUGUAAAUCAUACUGUAAGGCCAGAUUAAAGAAUUUCAUAGAGAGAUAUUCACACUUAAGACUAACAAAUGCUUCGAUUUUAGAAUAAUUCAUGAAUUUGCUAUUUUCUUCAUGAUGUCAGCUCAUGUUUGGUUAUUUGCUACUGAUCAUUUCAUCUUCCCUUGCUUACAAUUCCAGAAUCAUUUUAUUAAUUUAUUUAAUUAUUUAUUCAUUCAUUUAUUCUGCUUGGUCAAAGUUUCAGGUGUUAAAUGAUAUAGGCUUCAUCACAAUAGCAGAUUUCUUCCCACUUUUGUUUAUGUCUAUCUGAUUAUGGUAUCAGCAUUAUUUUUUCUUUCCAACUUUAGAGCUACAAUACUCAGGUAAAGUCGGUCCCUGGGAUUUAAAACUCAAAAUAAUUGAAUAAUAUGACACCACAGUGGUAGAAACAUGCUUCUAUUAAUAUGAAUAAAACAGAAUCACAGGGUAAAUGCACAUAUUAGACUUUUGUAUGUGGUUGAUUAUAAUGUAUAUAUAAUUGAGGAUUGACCAAAGCAUGGGUGCAAUUAGGCAUACAAGUUCUUCUUCAUAAUGGUAUUUUUAGUGCCAAAUAUAGGUCUCCAAAAGGUUCUUGGUGGGUAUACUUAUUGUGAGAUGGCAUGAUUUGUCUUUGAUGCACACUACCCCAUGUUAGAAUGAGCUGUUUCAUUUGGGGACACAACACAAGUAACAGCUCAUCUGCUCUCAUUUACAAGAGCUUCUAUGUAGUAAAAUUGAGAGUUGUGUUUUUUUCCAGCAAGUUCAAUUAUUUAGGGUAACCUCACUCCACAUGGAACUCUUCCCCCAGAUGUCCAUGUUGUCCAUAUUGACAACUCCUACCUUCCAAAAUGUUUGUUGACUUCUUACCUUCUGGUUGAGCCUGCAUUUGCCUCCUCUCCUUCCACCACACCUACCAUCUUAAUUUCUUUUUUCCUGCUCUACUUCUCUUAUUUUUCAUCACAUAUUUCUUUCAAAUCUGCAAUAUAACUUACCUAUCCAUUAUACUUAUGACUUAUUUGUUACUUUCUUCUUCAGGGUCAGAUUUUCUUCUGUUUAGUUUAUUCUUGAAUUCCAAAGUGUUUGAGAAAAGAACUGGACCAUAAUAGGUACUGUGAAAGCUGAUUAUUUGAAUUGGGGCAUUCUCGUCAUACCCAGUGAAAACAGAGUCAAGAGGGCAGGGGCAAAAAGCACUCAGGACACAAAACAUUGCUCUCCCAAAAUGUAAUUCACUGCAAGUCUGGCUGCUGAAAGUGCCUGCUGUAACCUCACAACUGUUUUAUCUAAUAGUUGCCAAACAAACCUGCUACAAAUCUAAGAUUUACUUUACCCACCAUCAGUCACCAGUCAGACGUUCCAGCUUCCCAGAACCUUACCAAUGCUAAUGAACUUUCUCAAAGAGCAAUAAUUAAUAUUUCUUUUUUUAGUAAAACCUCCAGCCUUCUCUUCGUUCUUCAGACAUGCUGAAGACCACUCGGUCUGAAUAUAUGCCCUGAUUUGCAAAUUAUUUAUUUCUUAAUUAAAUGUUAAAUUUAGAGAUUCCUCUUUACAUUUCUAUUUUGACUUCAACAGUCCUCAUUAAUAUUUCCUGAAUAAAUGAAUAAAAAUAUCAGAAUUAAUGUGCAUUUUGAAAAAUCUCUUAUGAAAUAUGAGAGAAAAAUCUGUUAUACGCUUAGAUCCUUAACUUGAUCGGUAUUCACCUUGAAAUAUGCUUUUAUCUUAUGUAGUCUGGUUUUAAAAUGUUAAGGAAAAAAAUACACUUAAAAAUGGACCUAGUCAUUUUUACUCAGCAGUACCAUAUCAUUUGAAAAACGAAAACACUCUAAGGCGGUUUUGUUCCUUUGUUUUUGUUUGGUCUGAUUUUCUUUCUUUUUUUUUUUUCCUUAUGUGUUCAGCCUCUUUAAUGUGAAUAACUGCUCUUAGUUAAACAGUCUCACAGCAUCCACUUACAGUCUCCAAGUUGCUUUCACAUUCUUUGUAAAAAUAAAAGCUCAGUUAAAGACACUACUUUCUUUUAUGGUGCAAUUUGUUUGCUCUUACACUGGUUCACUCUCUUUGCCAUUUGAUUUCCUCAGUUGAGCAAUUUAUGACAGAUUUUUAAGGUCUACUGUCCAUUACAAAGAGCAGGUUUUAAAAACUCCAUCAUCAUCAUAAGCUUAAUGAGUAAAUGGCUGGAAGCUCAGCAGCUUGGUGGGGGGAGUGUGUGGAGGUUUGACUCUGACAGCCAACUUGCUGUUGCUGUAAUUAAUAAUGAAAUGUUAAGUCUCUUGCUUUUUAUGUGGAGACAGGGAAAGUGACAGGGAUUAUGGAGAGAAAUAAAUUUACAUUGUAGCUUUAUAAAGCAUCCAUAGCUUUAGGAGCUCAAUAUAUACAAAAUUACUGUUAACAUGACAGUUCCCCAAGAAAGUAGUUACAAAAAUAUUUAAAGCUCUGGGCUGAAGAAUCAGGACAUUGUAAGAAUGGAGAGGAAGAAAAGACACUUUCUUGUAUCCUGUCCCUCCUUUCCUGCUGCUCAAUUUCUUUCUACUCAGCUGCUUAUAAAAAGAUGAAAGAUAUGCUAACUUGUCUCCCUGAGUGAAUCUAUUCAAUGUCACCACCCACGCACUUUCCAACAGUGACAAAAGUUCCUAUCACAUUCCUCUUCUCAACUCACCUGAUGGAUCCCCCAACUACACCCCACCCCCUAUCCUAGAAAAUAUUAUAUUAAGAAGUAGAAGAACUGUGGGAUUAUCUGAAUGAGACCUGCCAGUGAAGUCCAUAUCACUGACUAUUAAGUCAUGUUUACCACAAGCUAAUAGCCCAUAGCUCAAGCGGAACGCUCACCAUCUCUAGCCUUGUCCUUCUUCCAAAUCAGUGCAUGUAGGCAUGUGCUAUCUUUGCCUAUUAGAAGUGAUGGGUAGAACUCUUCAUCUACCAUUCGUGGAAUCUGAAGAUGGUACAAGGUCAUGAUGGUCACGCUAGCUUGGUAAACUGGUGGAAAAUUAAGUGCAGGCUCUCAUAAUGAAACAAAAUAUUAUCUGAACUGAAGCAUCUUGGAUACUGUUCUCUGUAAUUCUUCUCCCAUUUGCUUAUUUAUUCCUUCUUGUUUUCCCUGUGCAAACUGCAUCAUUGCUAAUAUGGCUACUUGAUCAGUGGUAGUUCCUCAUCUUCCACCAUUAUCCCAUUUCAGAUCUAUCUAAAAGCCUUACUUGUGGAUAAGAAUAACCAAAAAAAUCAAAUUAACUAGUUAGAUAAUGACUGUAUCUAUCUUUUAUGCUGAAUUAAAAUAACAUGAUUAAGUGAAGACUAGCAUACUUUAUUUUAACCGUUCACUUCAUCAUCGACAAGGGUAUAAGUUUAAUUAUGUAUAUGUACAUGUAAUUAUGUAUAGAUGUAUAGAAUACAAACAAAUUUAACCAUUUUACUUAUCCACAUGAAAUUGCUUCUUUUACAUGCAGGAUGACUUGUAAAUACAUUCAUAAUAGAGAAAUUGCAGUGGUUCUGACAAUCAGAUUUUUGAAUUAUUUUAUGUAGAACUUACUGGUAAAAAUUUUAUGAGGUAGUUAAAAACCAGAUUAAAAUCUGUAACUGAAAAAUUUGUCAUUUGGGUUGAAUUACAAAUAUAAGUCUAAGUUUUAUCUUCAGUGCCUCAGAAAGGCUGAAUUCAAUCCCUUUUAACUAGUUUCUAAAAUUUCAGAAGUGCUAAGUUUUCCCACAGAUUUCUGAACUGGAUUUAUGGCAAAGUACAACUUGAAAUAGAUGGAUGGAUAUGAGAAUUCACUAAUGAUCAUUCUCGACUAUCUGACUACAACAUAUUCUGAAAGACAAACUUGCCAAGUUAAAUGAUCAGAGGUAUGCUAUGAAAUUCUUUUGAAGACCCAGAUACCUUCUAGUUAUAAGGUACUAGUUAAAAUAAGCACCUCUAGAGAUAUUAAAUAACAAAAUCAAUUUUACUCAUUUCUUUUAGAAGAAAAAUUAAGAAUGUUUCAAUGAAUCUGAAAAACAAUUUUAUUUAUUAUCAAUCUUUAACUCUUUAUGUUAAAUUUCUGCUUAUGUGUCUGAGAUGAUCAUCAAAGUAUUCAAACAGAUAAAAUCAUUUCAGAGUUGUAUCAAUUUCUAAAAUGACAAAUUAUUUUCGGGAAAUAAUAUUUAGUUUUGGAGUGGAAUGUGUGAUAAUCAAAAACAAAACAUGUUUGAUCAAAACUGAAGCCUCUGUGCAAAACACGGAGCAUGGCAAUGUGAAGCAGUGGCUCCUUGGAAUUUGGUUCAGUUAGUGAUGGCUGGAAGGAAUCCUGGACCUGAGUUGCAUAGACAAGGUGGAUGAAAAUCAUAUGUAGCCUAAAACCCUGAGACUCCCUCACUCCUUCAAUGGUCUCUCUUUUUGAAAGUAUUUGGGGAAAAAUAAAUGUGCCUGGAUUAGGCCCUACCUUUUGGUUUUACUUGUAUUUGACUACAGGUAUGAACCCCACCUAGGGAUUUUCCUUUCCUGACCUGGCAAGGCCUGGAAAUUAACUAUUAGUUGUCUAAACAACUACUCCCCGUUUCCCCCUCCUGUUGUUCUUAAGGAGUUUGUUAUUUCUUCCUCUCCUAGUCAUGCACAAUGCCUCUUGCACAAGGCUGCUGUGUUCUCGGGGGAAAUAAAACAAUGCAUCCCAAAACUGCAACAUCUUGAAAUUGUGGAUGCGUAAUAUAACCGUGGCAAGUAUCUAAUGGAAAAAGACAAAUAAUGUAAACACAACAGCAAAGUCACUUCAUGGAUGUGCCCUAGUUCCUAGCAAGGGCCCCCUGUUUGCAGGUCUAUUCCAAACUCUCUGUGCUCUCAAUCACUUCAGAACAUUUUAUUUUUUUCCUCCAUCAGACUCCCCUCCUCAUUUCCUCCUCCUAACUAAACUGGUACAUCCCUCAAGCAGGUGCUUCCACUCAACAGUGGAAGGAGGUUGUAGCACUUUCAAUCAAGGCCUUCCAUCUAUAUAUCUAUGUUUAUCUAUACCUGUAUCUAUGAUCUAUCUAAUUAGAAAUAGAGACAGAGAGGGAGGUGAGGAGAUUGAAAUAGUAGUAUAAAAAAAGAAGUUCCCAAAGGCAAAAUAUCCUAUAAAGACUUUGCAGGCCCUCCAUGGAGAUACAUGUUUUAAAUUUUUAUAAGGAAGAACUUAAGUUUUCCUUUCCAUAAGUUUUUGCCUCCUAAUCGUGCCCACUGCUGUGUAAGAAAAAGGGGGCACAUUACAGUGCCUUUCAAAACAACCCAGCUCCCCUUGGCUAGUAGAUCUGAGGUUGCAGUAUUUCUUUACCUUGGGCCAGAUUAAAUACUUAGGCAAGACUCUCUACCAACCAAACAUUUCUGUAAAUUGAGAGGGAGCUAUAGAUGAAUGUAUCCUUCCUUAGGUCUGGAUAAUCUGAGAAUACUUCCUUCAGGUUCAUGUAGCAGAAAGAAUAAUACUUCCAUUCUACCUAAAGAGUUUCUUGCAACUGAGAUUUGCCUAUUGACAGUGGGUGCAAAGCUGAGAGAAAAGAGCCACAUUCAGGAUGUGGCUAUCUCUCAACAAGGAACAAGGUGACCUAGAAUAGUAGGAGUGGAGCCAUUUAAUCACUCAGGAAAUAAAUUUUGCCAUUCCAGUUCUAAAACUCUAAGAGCAUUUUUCGACAGGCAUGUGGGAAGUAGAAUACUGAUACCAAUAGCUAAAAUCAAUCUAUCUUAUCCCAGCAACUAUGGAGCCAAGUUGGGUUAGGACUAUGGUCAGAGAUAAACAAUUAAGUCUGCAGAGCCUAACUAGGUAACUAAUUGGUGAAGAUGCAUUUUGUAAGCUGUGACAGUUGUGUCUAAAUCAUUGAAAAAGUAUGUUUCAUCUACAAUUGGUAGCCAAUGCCGAAUUCCAGAUGUUUGAUUUCCUAGUUUUCUUAGAGAUAGUGAUUUUUAAAAUGUUUAUGUAGAAGCUGACAGUUAGACAUAUCUAUACAUAGAGUCGUACCUGAAUGUUCAUAGCAGCUUUAAUAUUAGCCCCAACCUGGAAAAACCCCAAAUUUCCCUCAAAAUUAUAAUGGAUAAAAUGGAUAAAUUCAAUGAACAUUAUUCCUAAAAUGAAAUACACUAAGCAAUAAUAAGGAGCUGACCACUGAUGUACUCAAUAAGAACAAAUUUCAAAAAACAAGAUGCUGAGAUAAAGAAGACAGAAACAAAAUAAUGCACAUGUAUGAUGUCACUUAUACAAAAUUUAGAAAAGAUAUAUCCUGUACAUAAUGACAGAACCUCCAUCAGUGGUUGCCUGUGAUCAGGGAUUGAGAUGGUGAGGGCAUGUGAGAAGUUUUCAUAUAUGAUGGAAAUGUGCAGGGGAUAUACAAUUGUCAAUAUGCAUCAAACUGUCUAAUUUAAUAUAUGUUUUAUUGUAUAUGAUAAAUUGAUUUUCUAAAAAUCAUAUACACUAACUCAAACUUCUUAUAGCUGAACACAUUUUAUAUUAGGUGUUUAUCUUAUAUUUACAGAUGAUGUCUAGUAAGCCUCAGAGAUGUCCAGUGGGAUCUGGGAUUUGAACCCAUGUCUAUUUCAAUUUGUCCUCUCAUUCCCUUUUUACACUCAGCUUUUCUUUUAACAUGCUCACAUUUUCCCUACGACUACAAAAUGAAAAUAAACAGAACCUUUAUUUUUAAGCUCUUAUCCUACUUUGCUUCUUCUGUGCAAAUGUUUUAAAAUAAUAGUUGACAUUUAUUCCUUCUACUUCCAUACCUCAUCCAUCUCUUGCAUUCUAAUGUCCAUCGCCCGCUUACUGAAAUAGAGAAAAAAGUCACGAUCAUCCAGCACUGCCAGUGAUUCUCAACUUUUUAAGUAAUUGACUUUGUGUGUUUCUUCAGAACACUUUCUCCUCUUAAGAUUUCUGGUUCCCUUUUAUGUCUCCCACUGCCUUUCCAUCAUCUUUUUGUUUGACUCUUUAAACUCCUCCCUUUUUCCUUUUUUCCCAUGGUCUCUUCAAAUAUAUCUAAACUAAUGCGUUCUGCAUACUUAUUUUGAGUCUUUUUGUGAGGUCUAGUCCAACUGGCAAAAUAUGGUAUCUCAAUUUCCUACCAUAAACUCAUCAUAUCUCAAAUUUAAAUUUCUCAUCUUUCUUCAUGCAAAACACCUUGAACCUCAAUUUAAACUUCAUCAUAUUCUUCAAUUUCUUCUCCCUUUGUUUUAUUACACAGCUUAUUUUGGCAAAAUCCUAGGGUAUUUUAAUGUGUUUUUCAUGUGCAUCACCUCUCCAUAUAUUUACAAUUGUUCUGGCAAAAGUUUAUAUUGAUAAUUAGUCUUAGUGAUUAUAAUUAUGCCCUACUUUUGCUUUCUGUAAUUCAUCCUACACACUGUUGCUAAGUAAUAAUACCACUAAAUCACAGCUCAGAAUAUAUAUUUUAUUGCCUGCUGGUUUUCUAUAUCUAUGAGAACACUUAUUUCGAAUGAAA